rnacentral:rRNA from 1 species
AGUGAACGCUGGCGGUAGGCCUAACACAUGCAAGUCGAACGGCAGCACAGUAAGAGCUUGCUCUUACGGGUGGCGAGUGGCGGACGGGUGGGGAAUACAUCGGAAUCUACUUUUUCGGGGGGGAUAACGUAGGGAAACUUACGCUAAUACCGCAUAUGACCUACGGGUGAAAGCAGGGGAUCUUCGGACCUUGCGCGAUUGAAUGAGCCGAUGUCGGAUUAGCUAGUUGGCGGGGUAAAGGCCCACCAAGGCGACGAUCCGUAGCGGGUCUGAGAGGAUGAUCAGCCACACUGGAACUGAGACACGGUCCAGACUCCUACGGGAGGCAGCAGUGGGGAAUAUUGCACAAUGGGCGCAAGCCUGACCCAGCCAUACCGCGUGAGUGAUGAAGGCCUUCGGGUUGUAAAGCCCUUUUGUUGGGAAAGAACAGCAGCAGGUUUAUACCCCGCUGUUCUGACGGUACCCAAAGAAUAAGCACCGGCUAACUUCGUG